GUCAUGAAAUUGGGGAAGGAAAAAUUUAUUUACAAGAUCAUAUUGCAAAGAAAAUUUUACAGUUUCCUGAUGUUAUGAAUGACAAGAAGACAUUGCAACAGUUUUUAGGAAUAGUAAAUUAUGCUAGAAAUUAUAUUGAAAACUUAGCCAAGUUGGCUGGACCAUUGUAUGCAAAGUUAAGAAAAAAUGGGCAGAAGCAUUUUAAUUCUGAAGAUAUAAGAUUAGUAAGAGUUAUAAAAGAAAAGGUCAAAGAACUAAAACCUUUAGAAUUACCUUUAGAUGACUAUUAUUUUAUUAUAGAGACAGAUGCAUCUGAAAUGGGAUGGGGAGCUAUAUUAAAACAAAAGCCGAACAAGUACUCUCCAAAAACAGAAGAAAGAAUAUGUAGGAAUGAAGAGAGGAAUGAGUCCUACUGGUGGUGAAAGUUUCGGCUUUGGAACUGAAAACAGAUUGAGAAUCUUUCCACCAAAUACUUAUAAAUUUAAGCCUAAAGACCAUAUUGUCUUAGAUGAAAUACAAGAAUGUGUUUUAGAUAAUUUUUGGUUCCAAUAUAAUAAUAAGAGAGAUGAUAGAGGUUA